rnacentral:piRNA from 1 species
UUUCCCUUUCAGAUCUGCCACAAAAAAAAA